AUAACAUCAUUUUGUCAAUGGGACGACCGCAUCAGCACCAAUGGAAGCAGAAAUAAAAUGGUCCACAGAAUACCUCCCAAGGAAAUUCUUCACUACCUCAUCGAGGUCGAAGGACAACACCGGAGAAGCUUAAAGUAAAGGACAGGACCAGGACAGAACGGAAAGGAAAGGUCCUGCACUGGAACCAAAGGAACUAUACCACCAAGGCUUAACCCAAUCCACCAGGAAACAGGGUUUCGUGAGUGUAAACGCAAAAACAAAAAACGAUGAAACAUGGAAAGAUAGCUACGAUGGACAACACGUGGAAACAUAAAUCUUUGUCUGGCCUUACAGCCCAUGGACUAAGCCACGAAUGCGUACGAAGACGAAGAAGAAUGUGUAUCCCGUGAUAAAAAAAGGCUUCCUUUUAGGUUGGACAAGUGGCUACGGGGUCAAGGAACCCCAAUCUAAAGUCUAGGACCUACCUAAGAUAAGAGCUCAUAUCCUAGCGCCUAUUUGGUUCCCUAUAUCCGGGACGAGAUUACCGUGAAGAGCACUCCCUUGUCUAACCGAACAUCGUCCGUCAGUGUCCUAGUCCUGGAUAUACCGCUGCAACCAGGAGGGCUGCAGAAUGCUGGAUCUCCCACACUGGACUGGAGCGGUGCUGGUGGCUGACGGUGGGAACGAUGAGUUUGUGACUUUUACCGAUAUUUUGCGUGCUUAGCGCUUUCGUUGUGAUUCUGCUGGCAGGCUCAUAUGCUUCGUGUGUAUAUUAGGUGAUGGUUUACGAGAUUUUACAGCCUUCGAAAUUGUUCACAGGUUUGAUAAUUAAAACAAGGAAAAAAAAUGUUCACCGUGUUUAAAUAAACGCUACUGCCAUCUAUUAAUAAAAAAAUGCACUUUCCCACCAUCGGUGGUGAAGGGGUUUUUCUGCUUCAAAAGCGUUCAAAUUGA